rnacentral:rRNA from 1 species
GACGAACGCUGGCGGCGUGCUUAACACAUGCAAGUCGAGCGGUAAGGCCCUUUCGGGGGUACACGAGCGGCGAACGGGUGAGUAACACGUGGGUGACCUGCCCUCAGCUCUGGGAUAAGCCUGGGAAACCGGGUCUAAUACCGGAUAUGACUCCAUGACGCAUGUUGUGGGGUGGAAAGCCUUGUGCGGCUGAGGAUGGGCCCGCGGCCUAUCAGCUUGUUGGUGGGGUGAGGCCUACCAAGGCGACGACGGGUAGCCGGCCUGAGAGGGCGACCGGCCACACUGGGACUGAGACACGGCCAGACUCCUACGGGAGGCAGCAGUGGGGAAUCUUGCGCAAUGGGCGAAGGCCUGACGCAGCGACGCCGCGUGAGGGAUGACGGCCUGG